UGUACAUACAAGGAUGACCUAGAUAUUUAACACUAUAUUACUUUUCUGUACGAAAAACUCACUACCCACUCCGCGUAAAGCGAUCAUGUAAUUUAUUAUAUGUUUCUAUAGUGAAAUUAUUCAUAUAUCCAUUGUAACAAAAGGAGAGAGUAAAAAAAAAGGAUAUCUUACUGACCAGCUAAUAUGGAGAUAUAUGGAAUCAAAUUUACCAAAUCCAUGAUUUUUGCGAUUAUUGCCAUAGAGAUUUUCAACUAUGCAUUCUUCUUUACCUACACACCUUGGUAUUUCCUGACAACACACAGAUAUUUCUUGACUGCCAUAGUAUGUGAUGCUGUAAUUGUUGUAAUGCUUAAAUUCAUCAAAGAUAAUAAAUGGACCAUCAAGUCGCGGAAGGAUGCAGCAAAAAUGAGUUUCUGGGCGACUCUAUUUUAUGUUGGACUUAAUGCACCUUAUGUUGUAUAUGGUCCAUUCUCAGCACUUUUCUACAGUGUUGAAUUUAUUCAUAAAUUUUGUAUGAGUUUUGUAAUUCUUUAUGUGUUGGACACCUGCAAAAAAUACGAUAUAAUAUGAUCAAUGAUUGGAAGAAUUGAAAUAUUUAAACGAAAUCAGGAGAAUGCAGAAACAUAAAUAGCUC